GACAGAGGGGGCAGGCGUUGCUCGGAAUCACUGGGCGUAAAGGGCGCGUAGGCGGGAUGGCAAGUCAGUCGUGAAAUCUCUCGGCUCAACCGAGAAACGUCGGCUGAUACUGCCGUUCUUGAGGGAUGCAGAGGAGACUGGAAUUCCCGGUGUAGCGGUGGAAUGCGUAGAGAUCGGGAAGAACAUCGGUGGCGAAGGCGGCCAGCUGGGCCAUUGCUGACGCUGAUGCGCGACAGCGUGGGGAGCAAACAGG
rnacentral:rRNA from 1 species